rnacentral:rRNA from 1 species
GCUUGUCUCAAAGAUUAAGCCAUGCAUGUCUAAGUAUAAGCAAUCUAUACUGUGAAACUGCGAAUGGCUCAUUAAAUCAGUUAUCGUUUAUUUGAUAGUACCUUACUACUUGGAUAACCGUGGUAAUUCUAGAGCUAAUACAUGCUAAAAACCCCGACUUUUGGAGGGGUGUAUUUAUUAGAUAAAAAACCAAUGCCCUUCGGGGCUCCUUGGUGAUUCAUAAUAACUUAACGAAUCGCAUGGCCUUGUGCCGGCGAUGGUUCAUUCAAAUUUCUGCCCUAUCAACUUUCGAUGGUUAGGUCUUGGCUAACCAUGGUUUCAACGGGUAACGGGGAAUUAGGGUUCUAUUCCGGAGAGUGAGCCUGAGAAACGGCUAACACAUCCAAGGAAGGCAGCAGG